UACGUAGGCAGCGAACGUUGUUCGGAGUUACUGGGCGUAAAGCGUGCGUAGGCGGUGUCUUAAGUUUGUUGUGAAAUCUCCCGGCUUAACCGGGAGGGUGCGGCGAAUACUGAGAUGCUGGAGUGCCGGAGAGGUAAGCGGAAUUCCUGGUGUAGCGGUGAAAUGCGUAGAUAUCAGGAGGAACACCUGCGGUGUAGACGGCUUACUGGACGGUAACUGACGCUGAGGCACGAAAGCGUGGGUAGCAAACAGG
rnacentral:rRNA from 1 species